CAUUAAGUCUACAUUUUGUAAAGUCUACAUCAGCAAUAUACAAAAAUCGUGGAACACUUGUUCUUAUGGGUUAUGAAGGAGCUUGAUUUUAAAUCACGAAAUAACAAAGAAGAGAACCUAGUUGUUUAUAUACUCGACAAGAACAAUUGUCAAGUAAAUACAAUCCCGUCGUGCGUCGCUUGCUGUUGUUUGGCUGAACAUCUCUUGUCAAUUGGCAUCAUUGUUGCAAUACGGAUGUAAUAAAGACGAGGAACAAUAAAACUAUAUUAUCCAGAUAUUGGAAGUUGACAGGCGCCUCGGAUAAUAACGUGUAAUUCAAAAUUCGACUGGAAAUCCGACGACGAAAACAUCCAUCGACACAACCGACAGGGAGCGAAAGGACGAUUUAACGCUGCGCCCCGCGAUCGCGAAACACCGAAG
rnacentral:lncRNA from 1 species